AGUGAACGCUGGCGGUAGGCCUAACACAUGCAAGUCGAACGGCAGCACAGUAAGAGCUUGCUCUUACGGGUGGCGAGUGGCGGACGGGUGAGGAAUACAUCGGAAUCUACUUUUUCGUGGGGGAUAACGUAGGGAAACUUACGCUAAUACCGCAUACGACCUACGGGUGAAAGCAGGGGAUCUUCGGACCUUGCGCGAUUGAAUGAGCCGCUGUCGGAUUAGCUAGUUGGCGGGGUAAUGGCCCACCAAGGCGCCGAUCCGUAGCUGGUCUGAGAGGAUGGUCAGCCACACUGGAGCUGAGACACGGUCCAGGCUCCUGCGGGAGGCAGCAGUGGGGAAUAUUGGACAAUGGGCGCAAGCCUGAUCCAGCCAUACCGCGUGGGUGAAGAAGGCCUUCGGGUUGUAAAGCCCUUUUGUUGGGAAAGAAAAGCAGCAGGUUAAUACCCCGCUGUUCUGACGGUACCCAAAGAAUAAGCACCGGCUAACUUCGUG
rnacentral:rRNA from 1 species